ensembl:lncRNA
GUUCUUGCCUGGAGAAUCCCAGGGACGGGGGAGCCUGGUGGGCUGCUGUCUAUGGGGUCACACAGAGUUGGACACGACUGAAGCAACUUAGCAGCAGCAGCAGCAGCAGCAGACCAUCAUGCCAAGGAAUGCAACCUGUCACCACAGUCCAACAAGCACCACUUCUGCUACAGCGCCGAUCAUAUGGUAGCUUCAUGUCUGCCGAAGGCCCAGCAAGCUCCCAGCUCCCAGGGAAAGCAAGCCUACUUUCGGGAGGAGGAAGAAGAGAUCCGUAGCCCUGCCAUGCUCCCAGAGGCCCAGAAUAGAGCCACAGUAGGUAGCAGCUAUCCUUUUGUGAUCAGAAAGUUUUGAGAAGCGGGCAUCAAUCAGCAGAGUUCACUGCCCAGGGAUGGAUACAUGAAGCAAGGACAAGAUCCUUAACCUUAAACAGUUCUGGGCGUUUCCUGCUUGGCUUCCAGGGAGACCAUCAGCUAUGGCUUCUUCGUGGUUCCCAGAGCCACGGUCCUGCUCUGCUGCAGAAGUGAGUUGGACUAUAAAGAAAGCUGAGCACCGAAUUGAUGCG